rnacentral:rRNA from 1 species
UACAGAGGUCCCAAGCGUUGUUCGGAUUCAUUGGGCGUAAGGGUGCGUAGGUGGCGCCGUAAGUCGGGUGUGAAAUUUCGGAGCUUAACUCCGAAACUGCAUUCGAUACUGCGGUGCUUGAGGACUGGAGAGGAGACUGGAAUUCAUGGUGUAGCAGUGAAAUGCGUAGAGAUCAUGAGGAAGACCAGUGGCGAAGGCGGGUCUCUGGACAGUUCCUGACACUGAGGCACGAAGGCCAGGGGAGCAAACGGG